rnacentral:rRNA from 1 species
AGUGAACGCUGGCGGUAGGCCUAACACAUGCAAGUCGAACGGCAGCACAGUAAUAGCUUGCUCUUAUGGGUGGCGAGUGGCGGACGGGUGAGGAAUACAUCGGAAUCUACUUUUUCGUGGGGGAUAACGUAGGGAAACUUACGCUAAUACCGCAUACGACCUACGGGUGAAAGCAGGGGAUCUUCGGACCUUGCGCGAUUGAAUGAGCCGAUGUCGGAUUAGCUAGUUGGCGGGGUAAAGGCCCACCAAGGCGACGAUCCGUAGCUGGUCUGAGAGGAUGAUGAGCCACACUGGAACUGAGACACGGUCCAGACUCCUACGGGAGGCAGCAGUGGGGAAUAUUGGCCAAUGGGCGCAAGCCUGAUCCAGCCAUACCGCGUGGGUGAAGAAGGCCUUCGGGUUGUAAAGCCCUUUUGUCGGGAAAGAAAAGCAGCAGGUUAAUACCCCGCUGUUCUGACGGUACCCAAAGAAUAAGCACCGGCUAACUUCGUG